GAGUUUGAUCCUGGCUCAGGAUGAACGCUAGCGACAGGCUUAACACAUGCAAGUCGAGGGGCAGCGGGGUAGUGCUUGCACUACUGCCGGCGACCGGCGCACGGGUGAGUAACACGUAUGGAACCUGCCCGCAGCAGGGGGAUAAACGGAAGAAAUUCCGUCUAAUACCGCGUAACAACGUUGGGAGGCAUCUCCCGAUGUUUAAAGAUUUAUCGGCUGCGGAUGGCCAUGCGGCGCAUUAGCUAGUCGGCGGGGUAACGGCCCACCGAGGCGACGAUGCGUAGGGGUUCUGAGAGGAAGGUCCCCCACACUGGUACUGAGACACGGACCAGACUCCUACGGGAGGCAGCAGUGAGGAAUAUUGGUCAAUGGCCGAGAGGCUGAACCAGCCAAGUCGCGUGAGGGAAGACGGCCCUACGGGUUGUAAACCUCUUUUGUCGGGGAGCGAAAGAGAGCCACGUGUGGCUCAUUGAGAGUACCCGAGAAAAAGCAUCGGCUAACUCCGUGCCAGCCGCCGCAGUAAU
rnacentral:rRNA from 1 species